rnacentral:rRNA from 1 species
AGGUAAUGUCUGGGAAACUGCCUGAUGGAGGGGGAUAACUACUGGAAACGGUAGCUAAUACCGCAUAACGUCGCAAGACCAAAGUGGGGGACCUUCGGGCCUCAUGCCAUCAGAUGUGCCCAGAUGGGAUUAGCUAGUAGGUGGGGUAACGGCUCACCUAGGCGACGAUCCCUAGCUGGUCUGAGAGGAUGACCAGCCACACUGGAACUGAGACACGGUCCAG